UACGUAGGGGGCAAGCGUUAUCCGGAUUUACUGGGUGUAAAGGGAGCGCAGGCGGCCAUGCAAGUCAGAGGUGAAAACCCGGGGCUUAACUCCGGGACUGCCUUUGAAACUGUAAGGCUAGAUUGCAGGAGAGGUAAGUGGAAUUCCCAGUGUAGCGGUGAAAUGCGUAGAUAUUGGGAGGAACACCAGUGGCGAAGGCGGCUUACUGGACUGUAAAUGACGCUGAGGCUCGAAAGCGUGGGGAG
rnacentral:rRNA from 1 species